rnacentral:sRNA from 1 species
AAUCUGUAUCUAGAUCUAUUCUUAUACACUGCUAAUACACUACAGAUUUAAUGUUUCUCAUGAGCAAUACUACUGUCUACAGCCAUUGCCCAUUAACAUAGGCCCUACUCAUGUACUGGAUCUAGCUCUUUUGAUCACAACUCAUAUCUUGCCUAGAUAUAAACAACUGUACUAGAUUGAACUAGACAUUCUAAUUGGUUCUAUUUUCUUUUUUCAUUAUUCUCACACAUUCCAGUAGGUACCAAAUUGUGCUAUUUAUUCACUGUAGAUCUAGAUCUUAACUUUUCUCUUAACUACCAAAAAAGUACACAAAGGAUGUUGAAUGGUACCCAAAAGGGCUCUAAUUGCUACCAUUCAAUGUGUGGAUUCAAGUAUUUACCCAGAUACGGCCACAAUAUGUUCUUAUUGUUUUCAAAGGAGUUUGCACACAGUGCCAGAAGCUGUAUAAAUAAAUUUAACAAUGUAUAUUUCAAGAAGAAAUGAUGCUAUUUUAUUCCUUAGAGUUUAUCAAUAGGAUGGAUGCCACAAAACUCACUUGUUAUGCCAGAAACUCUUCCUACAAAACUUCCAUACUAGAAUUUGUCCAGUGCCUGUGAUCCUCUGAGUUGAAGGAGAAU